rnacentral:lncRNA from 1 species
UACAACUUUCGUUCUGUCUUUCUUUCUCUAGGGACAAAAGAACCUGAUUGAAAACUUUAAAGGUUUUCAUAUUCUUGCACCAGAUGUCGUCGUGAUCCACCAUCGAUGCCGUUGUACUCCGCCAUUGUUCGACGACUGAUCAAGCCAAAAUUCUACCCAUCAUUACUUCUUGUUCUCCUCGUCUCGAAUAUGAGCUUGUUUUUUUGUAAAUCGCUUCUUAAAGGCGUAAAUCUAGCGUUCAAGUUACGAUUUUUUUUCUAUUUCAGGCACUUCCACCGUCGGAUCUUCCCCAACUUUCAGCAUGUAAUUUUUCUCGUCAAGCUCCAUGUCUUCACCGUCAGGAUUUGUCAGAAGUCGCAUCGAUCAUCGUCUAUUGCCACUAUGGUAGGUUUCGGGUUUCCCCUUUUAUUCGUCUUUUCUUUUCUAUUUUUGAUCUCCUUUAGUUUCUGACUUGGCUUUGUUUAUUUUCUAAAUUUGUGUUUGGACGACUGACUGAUGGUGGACGAGAAACUGAUGGCGGUAAGUUGAUGGUCGAUGGAUGGGGAUAGUGUUGAAGCUAGCCGAAUACAAAGUCUGUUAACUGGAAAUGUGAGUUUUCUAACCUAUGUUCUGUGGUCUGCUUGUGAUUACAUUCUGGGAAUUAAUUUACAGGGGAUUGGGUUAUGGCCGGCCAUGGUAUAAGGCUUUUGAAUCUGCGCUUUUGAUGAAGAUAAGGUCAAGCACCUGGUUUUUGAAAGUGAUGGCUUGAUGAAUUGGCACUGAUGCUGCCAGAUUGGGAUUUCUCUUAUUUGUUAAUGAAAUUGUUUCUGUUUAUUAUGUGAUUUUUGGUAGCUGAAAUAGGAAUUAUAAUUAUUACCUUCAUAGUUUCCUACUACUCGAAUAUUAUAGCUCAUCUGUAUGGUUUCUCCCUGUUUGAACGUUACUGUACAAAUGGGACUGUGGGUUUUACCUCUGUGUGUUUGUGCUGCUGGUGAUAGUGGCCGCUAAUGGUGGGGUUCAAAACGAGUAGGGUCUCAACUGGUAAUGGAGACGAUAUUGAGUUUCAAGGCUAGUCUAUUUCGGCGUGGAUUGCCAAUGAUAGAAGGAUAACAAUGUGGAGAUGGCAGCAAAAUUGGCUUGAUGAGAACUGGUGGUGCUGCGUAUUUUUGCUUUUUUUCUGUGAUCUUUCCAUAAUCUUCGUACUCUUGUUCCCUUUCCCAUUGAUGUGAAUUGCAAUGAUAUAUAAAACCAUGUUG